GACGAACGCUGGCGGCGUGCUUAACACAUGCAAGUCGAACGGAAAGGCCCUGCUUUUGUGGGGUGCUCGAGUGGCGAACGGGUGAGUAACACGUGAGUAACCUGCCCUUGACUUUGGGAUAACUUCAGGAAACUGGGGCUAAUACCGGAUAGGAGCUCCUGCUGCAUGGUGGGGGUUGGAAAGUUUCGGCGGUUGGGGAUGGACUCGCGGCUUAUCAGCUUGUUGGUGGGGUAGUGGCUUACCAAGGCUUUGACGGGUAGCCGGCCUGAGAGGGUGACCGGCCACAUUGGGACUGAGAUACGGCCCAGACUCCUACGGGAGGCAGCAGUGGGGAAUAUUGCACAAUGGGCGGAAGCCUGAUGCAGCAACGCCGCGUGCGGGAUGACGGCCUUCGGGUUGUAUACCGCUUUCGCCUGUGACGAAGCGUGAGUGACGGUAAUGGGUAAAGAAGCGCCGGCUAACUACGUG
rnacentral:rRNA from 1 species